UUUAAUAUUUUGCAAUAAUUGGCCUUGUUCCUGAGCUGUUGGAUUCGGGGCCGUAGCACUGUCUGAGAGGUUUACAUUUCUCACAGUGAACCGGUCU
ensembl:miRNA